rnacentral:lncRNA from 1 species
CAAGACAGAGGCAGGACUGAGAAGACGAGAGGUGGGCUUCGUUCCUGAGAAUAUCCAGGAGUCCAAGAGAUCUAAAUUGGAAGAUGGCCUUCCAAUUUAGGUCAGUUUCCAAUUAAGAAGGCCAGGUUUUUAUGAAGCAAUAUUUGUCAAGGAUUCAACUAUCAACUUGCUGGUCCUCUACUUCCCGAAACUCUCCAGCCUACAUUUCUUCCUCUUCUUCGGUUUCUAAACUCAAACUGACUUUGGAAUGAAAGGGAGCAGCUGCUGAGGUAGGAAGGUCGGAGGUGGCCCUCCAAAAGCCUCUUUUCUGGAAGCUCCGCUGCCAAGGGCUCGACUGGAGUCCCAGGACAUAUUCAGAGGCCGCCAGACCCCUGCAUGGAGGCCCCUCCCUUGCAGCUCCUGGUUACCAUGAUUGAAUGAUGUCCUGCAGCUCCGAGCCUCAGCCACCUAUGUUGUCAAGGUUUCCUCUGUGAAAGCAUCCAAAAACUCUGCCAGCACCUUCUUCUUUCCUUUUUUGUUUUCCUACCAGGGCCAGGCCAGGCUCUGCUGGCCAUUUCCGAUUAAGCUCCUCAGAAGGCAUAGAGCCACUCACACUCAGAAUUAUUUAAAAUAACACUAGACUGCAAAUGCCCUAAAUAUCCAUCAGAAAUAAAUGGAUGCAUAACAUUGGGUGAAAGAAGCCAUACACAAACAUGGACAUUCACUUUUGCAGAUGAGGAAACAAGAAUUCAGAGUUGAUUUGCACAUACGAAGCAAAACAAGUGAGAUCCAAGCCUCCAGACUCUACAACAGAUGCUUCCAAUAUCUAUGUCUAAUGAAGUAAACU